GUAGGUGCCGCAUUAGGAACUGCUGGUGGUCUCCGCCUCUUGUCGGAGAUGCGGUGUGGAGCUGAGUGCGUCCCCUGGUCAGAGUUGCGUCCGGACGCUUUACGAGGCCUCCGCUCCCCCGCUUGUGGUGCGCAGGCUGGCCGGAGGUUGCCCCCCCAGGUGUAUCUCUUUAGGUUGAGCAGCGGUGGGCCCUGCGUGUGGGUCCUUCGCCUUCGUCGAGGCCCAGGUGGGUGGCGUCUGAUGCGUGGUCUGCAGCCUAAGGGUCGGGGGGUAGCCCUCGCUCUGCUCUCCCGCUUUUUCUCGUUUAGUGGCUCCGUGGUGCUUUUCAGAGC